rnacentral:tRNA from 1 species
GUCCAGGGGCGGGAAUCGAACCCACAACCUUCUGCUUACCGGGCAGGUGCCAUGUCCAAUAGGCUACCCUGGA